CCUACAAUUGAAUCGUAAUAUUACUGAAAAGUUGGAUACAUAUUUUUCACACAAAACAUUUUUCAAAUCAAAAAAUAUCUAGAUACUUAGAGUUUUGAAUUAACACAAACAAUAUAUAAAUUUUGAAAACGACGUACGAGUGAAAAAUAGCCAAAUGUCCAUUAUACAAUAUACUUCUUGAAUUAUAUAUGCACAAACUGAUGAAUAUGUCAACAUUCUAAUAAUUUGUCUUCAAAUUAAUAUGUUGAUGGUUAAUGAAUUAUUACUAUAAGGGAAAUACUUGAAAAUUUAAGUCAUUUUCUUAUGCACAGGUUUAAAUUGAGAAUAAACCAGUCUGGUAAUGGUUAAUUCUCUUAUAUCAGUCUAUCUACAUUUAUUUAAAUUUUAAACAAUAAUAUACAUUACUCUAUCGAUGUGUAUGCAUCAUACAUACUUUUUGUGUUAAAAUGCCAUCCUGUUUGUGCACGCUACAUGUAGUGAACAUAAAUAUAUUGUAAUAGUUGAUGCAUGCAAAUAAGUUGAGGCUCUUUUUUAUACUGUCAACAAUAUAACAACUUUAAUAAUUUAUAACUUUCUGUUCAAAGGGAAAUAGUCGUUUUAAUGUUACUUCAUUGUAUUACCUCCUUUUAUAAUAUUUCCUUCUCGUGUGCAUGCACCGACUAUCCGUAGUUCAAUACUUUUGUUUAUAACUAAUUGUCAUUAAAACAUUGUACUUAUUGUUUGUAAUUAGGAACCAGCAAGUGUGCAUGAUUAAUUUAAUAAAG
rnacentral:lncRNA from 1 species